CACGUAGGGCGCAAGCGUUGUCCGGAAUUAUUGGGCGUAAAGAGCUCGUAGGUGGUUUGUUACGUCUGCUGUGAAAUCCUAGGGCUUAACCCUGGGCUUGCAGUGGAUACGGGCAGACUAGAGGUAGGUAGGGGAGACUGGAAUUCCUGGUGUAGCGGUGAAAUGCGCAGAUAUCAGGAGGAACACCGGUGGCGAAGGCGGGUCUCUGGGCUGACACUGACGCUCAUGCACGAAAGCGUGGGGAGCAAACAGG
rnacentral:rRNA from 1 species